rnacentral:misc_RNA from 1 species
CUAGGUUCAGCAGGUGGUCCUACUCAAUUUGAGGUCAAGUUGUCAGUUGUUGUCUGAAGACAGUUGGAAAGCACAGAGCUCCUGAUCAGCCACCCUCUUGCGAGGUGCCAGCAAAGAUACUUAUCACGCCAUACUAUGUCCAACCAAGAGUUGCACUAAUGCAUUUGAGGUGAGCCACAGUAAAGCAGCAACACCCAAGU